UCGAGAAUCUUCGGCAAUGGGCGCAAGCCUGACCGAGCGACGCCGCGUGGGGGACGAAGGCCUUCGGGUUGUAAACCCCUGUCGGGGGGGAAGAAGGGCGGGUCACACCGCCUUGACUGAUCCCCGGAGGAAGCACGGGCUAAGUUCGUGCCAGCAGCCGCGGUAAGACGAACCGUGCGAACGUUAUUCGGAAUCACUGGGCUUAAAGCGCGUGUAGGCGGGAACGAACGUCGGCCGCUGAAAUCCCCCGGCUUAACCGGGGAAGGGGCGCCGAAACGGCCUUCCUGGAGGGACGUAGGGGGAGCUGGAACUUCCGGUGGAGCGGUGAAAUGCGUUGAGAUCGGAAGGAACGCCCGCGGCGAAAGCGAGCUCCUGGACGUCUGCUGACGCUGAGACGCGAAAGCCAGGGGAGCGAACGG
rnacentral:rRNA from 1 species